GCGUCGGUGGUCUAAUGGCUACGACUGGUUACGCUCGGUCGACACGCAAGGUGUGGCAUAAAGCCACACGAGCUCGUCUGACGACUCGCAACCAGUUGCCGUAAAUGACAACGGCCUUCCAAGCCGUUUAUCCGGGUUCGAAUCCCGGCCGACGCA
rnacentral:tRNA from 1 species